AGUCGCGCGGAUCUUCCAGAAGAUUAGAGUUUGAUCAUGGCUCCAGAUUGAACGCUGGCGGAAUGCUUUACACAUGCAAGUCGAACGGCAGCACGGACUUCGGUCUGGUGGCGAGUGGCGAACGGGUGAGUAACAUAUCGGAACGUAUCCAAUAAUGGGGGAUAACUAAUCGAAAGGUUGGCUAAUACCGCAUACGCCCUGAGGGGGAAAGCUAGGGAUCUUCGGACCUGGCGUUAAUGGAGCGGCCGAUAUCUGAUUAGCUAGUUGGUGGGGUAAAGGCCCACCAAGGCGACGAUCAGUAGCUGGUCUGAGAGGACGACCAGCCACACUGGAACUGAGACACGGUCCAGACUCCUACGGGAGGCAGCAGUGGGGAAUUUUGGACAAUGGGCGCAAGCCUGAUCCAGCCAUUCCGCGUGAGUGAAGAAGGCCUUCGGGUUGUAAAGCUCUUUCGCAAGGGAAGAAAACUUAUCCUCUAACAUAGGAUGAGGUUGACGGUACCUUGAUAAGAAGCACCGGCUAACUACGUGCCAGCAGCCGCGGUAAUACGUAGGGUGCGAGCGUUAAUCGGAAUUACUGGGCGUAAAGCGUGCGCAGGCUGUUUUGUAAGUCAGAUGUGAAAUCCCCGAGCUCAACUUGGGAACUGCGUUUGAAACUACAAGACUAGAAUAGGUCAGAGGGGGGUAGAAUUCCACGUGUAGCAGUGAAAUGCGUAGAGAUGUGGAGGAAUAUCAAUGGCGAAGGCAGCCCCCUGGGAUCAUAUUGACGCUCAUGCACGAAAGCGUGGGGAGCAACAGGAUUAGAUACCCUGGUAGUCCACGCCCUAAACGAUGUCUACUAGUUGUUGGUGGAGUAAAAUCCAUGAGUAACGCAGCUAACGCGUGAAGUAGACCGCCUGGGGAGUACGGUCGCAAGAUUAAAACUCAAAUGAAUUGACGGGGGCCCGCACAAGCGGUGGAUUAUGUGGAUUAAUUUCGAUGCAACGCGAAAACCUUACCUGGCCUUGACAUGUACGGAACUUUCCAGGAGAUGGAAUUGGUGCUU
rnacentral:rRNA from 1 species